AAUAAAGCUUAAAAUAAAAUGUUGGCAGGGUUGCCACAUCUUUUUGCCAAAAUUAUAACCUUAUAUUAUUAAUUUCUUAAAAAUAAACUAUUUAGAACGAAAAAAUGUUCGUACAAAAAUCCAAAAUUAAAUUCAAAAUUUUUCAAUCGCAGAGCAGUUAAAAUUUAUUUCAAAAUUAUUUUAAUCAUAGAGCAAGGCUACACGGAAAGAUUUUAAAGUCUGCGAGUCAAAGCAUUUGAUGUAAAAUACACACAGCCACGAAGACAAUAAACAAACAAAGCAACGCACAACAGCAAGUCCAUGAAGGCCCUGGAAGAGAGGAAGAAGCAGGAGAAGACGCGGUGGAACUUAAAGAAGCUGCUGAAAUAAACGAGUACAAUAUGAUGUGGCAGCAAAAGUAGCAGCAACAAAUUCACAACAUCAUUUAUACCAGCUGUCAUGCAGCAGAAAAGAGCACCGCCAACACCAGCAACAACAUCACCAGUGUAGUAGUUGCAGCAACAAAAACAACAACAAUAACGCUAAACAAUAAUAGCAACAUUAGCAUCAGCGACAUUGCCACCGGCAACACCAGCAGAACAUCGCCGCAACAGCAAUGGCGUCAGCAACAGCAGCAAGCGAGCGUCGGCAGCACAAAAAGGCGCCAACAGCAUUGUGCGACCACUGGCGGCGGCAUGGUGGGGGCAGAGGUGUUGUCGCCUAAACACAGUUAUUCAGCCAAUUCUCGACACUUUUUUCGCUGCUAAAUU